CACCGAUAUUGGUUUGCCAAGGUAUCGGUAUUGAAAUCAAAAUUUUACCAUAUUUACUAUUUUCCUAAAUAGUUAACUAAACAUUCGUGGAACUUAAUUCAAACUUAGGAACCUUAUAUUUGAAAUGUGGCCGUAGUUUCAAUCUGAACAAUUUACUGAACAUUUGUUGAUUUUUUUUUUUUUUUUUUUUAAUGGACCUGGUCUCAAUUUCCUUUUUUUCAAGUAAGGAUAAGAUACAAUGGUUCUGUAUGAGAUAGCUGAUCAAUGUAUGAAGGUAACAUGGUUGUAUGUGUACUGUAUGAGAUAGCUGAUCGAUGUAUGAAGGUAACAUGGUUGUAUGUGUACUGUAUGAGAUAGCUGAUCGAUGUAUGAAGGUAACAUGGUUGUAUGUGUACUGUAUGAGAUAGCUGAAGGUAACAUGGUUGUAAGUGUACUUUAUGAGAUAGCUGAUCAAUGUAUGAAGGUAACAUGGUUGUUUGUGUACUUUAUGAGAUAGCGGAUCAAUGCAUGAAGGUAACAUGGUUGUAUGUGUACUGUAUGAGAUAGCUGAUCGAUGUAUGAAGGUAACAUGGUUGUAUGUGUACUGUAUGAGAUAGCUGAUCGAUGUAUGAAGGUAACAUGGUUGUAUGUGUACUGUAUGAGAUAGCUGAUCGAUGUAUGAAGGUAACAUGGUUGUAUAACGUAUGAAGGUAACAUGGUUGGAUGUGUACUGUAUGAGAUAGCUGAUCGAUGUAUGAAGGUAACAUGGUUGUAUGUGUACUGUAUGAGAUAGCUGAUCGAUGUAUGAAGGUAACAUGGUUGUAUGUGUACUGUAUGAGAUAGCGGAUCAAUGUAUGAAGGUAAUAUGGUUGUAAGUGUACUGUAUGAGAUAGCGGAUCAAUGUAUGAAGGUAACAUAGUUGUAAGUGUAGGACCUCCACACAAAUCCACCUGAGUCACAGUUUAGGUGUACACACUGUCCGUACACACUCACCU